AUUUUUUCUACAGCAAACAGAAGAAAAUUAGCACCCAAAUUCCAUGAGUCACUUUCUGUCAGUAGUGGAAACAGCAGUCUUAAAUAUUUGUUUUGCAAGUGUAGUUUCUUGUGGGUGGAUAGUCAGAAGUAAUUAGCCAUUUAUUAGCUAACUUGCCAUAAAGCAUCCAUAAAUUAAUCUAAAAACACAAAAGACUCUGUUUAUUGUUACAGUUAACUGAAUUAAUGAGAAUGAUUCUAACUUCCUAAGGAUUAUGCAGUUCUAUUUUUUGUAGAAUGUUUAUAAUAAUAAAAAUA
rnacentral:lncRNA from 1 species